CUACGGGAGGCAGCAGGCGAGAAAACUUUGCAAUGUGCGAAAGCACGACAAGGUUAAUCCGAGUGGUUUGUGCUAAACGAACCUUUUGACAGUCCUAGAAACACUGUUGAAUAAGGGGUGGGCAAGUUCUGGUGUCAGCCGCCGCGGUAAAACCAGCACCUCAAGUGGUCAGGAUGAUUAUUGGGCCUAAAGCAUCCGUAGCCGGCUCUGUUAGUUUUCGGUUAAAUCUGUACGCUCAACGUACAGGCUGCCGGGAAUACUGCAGAGCUGGGGAGUGGGAGAGGUAGACGGUACUCGGUAGGAAGGGGUAAAAUCCUUUGAUCUAUUGAUGACCACCUGUGGCGAAGGCGGUCUACCAGAACACGUCCGACGGUGAGGGAUGAAAGCUGGGGGAGCAAACCGGAUUAGAUACCCGCGUAGUC
rnacentral:rRNA from 1 species